UACGUAGGGUGCAAGCAUUGUCCGGAUUUAUUGGGCGUAAAGAGCUCGUAGGCGGUCUGUCGCGUCGGAUGUGAAACCUCGGGGCUCAACCCCGAGCCUGCAUCCGAUACGGACAGACUAGAGUAUUACAGGGGAGACUGGAAUUCCUGGUGUAGCGGUGGAAUGCGCAGAUAUCAGGAGGAACACCGGUGGCGAAGGCGGGUCUCUGGGUAAUUACUGACGCUGAGGAGCGAAAGCGUGGGGAG
rnacentral:rRNA from 1 species